ACGAACGCUGGCGGCAUGCCUAAUACAUGCAAGUCGAACGAGCUUCCGUUGAAUGACGUGCUUGCACUGAUUUCAACAAUGAAGCGAGUGGCGAACUGGUGAGUAACACGUGGGGAAUCUGCCCAGAAGCAGGGGAUAACACUUGGAAACAGGUGCUAAUACCGUAUAACAACAAAAUCCGCAUGGAUUUUGUUUGAAAGGUGGCUUCGGCUAUCACUUCUGGAUGAUCCCGCGGCGUAUUAGUUAGUUGGUGAGGUAAAGGCCCACCAAGACGAUGAUACGUAGCCGACCUGAGAGGGUAAUCGGCCACAUUGGGACUGAGACACGGCCCAAACUCCUACGGGAGGCAGCAGUAGGGAAUCUUCCACAAUGGACGAAAGUCUGAUGGAGCAAUGCCGCGUGAGUGAAGAAGGGUUUCGGCUCGUAAAACUCUGUUGUUAAAGAAGAACACCUUUGAGAGUAACUGUUCAAGGGUUGACGGUAUUUAACCAGAAAGCCACGGCUAACUACGUGCCAGCAGCCGC
rnacentral:rRNA from 2 species